rnacentral:rRNA from 1 species
CCUUAUUGCUCCACGGCAUACCCCGAGAUCGGGGACAAUACCGGAUGAUGCAGCGGACCGCAUGGUUAUGUUGUUAAAUCAGGAAUGGCCUGUAGAUAAGCCUAUAUUCCAUCAGGUAGUUGGCGGGGUAAAAGCCUCCAGCCUCCGACGGCUAAAUGGUCUGACAGGAAGCUCUUCUAUUUUUCUAUGAUCCGCAACAGAACCUAAUGUACCUCAUAUUGAAA